UCGGGAAUAUUGGGCAAUGGGGGAAACCCUGACCCAGCAACGCCGCGUGAGUGAAGAAGGCCCUCGGGUCGUAAAGCUCUGUCCUGGGGGAGGGAAGAAUGACAGUA
rnacentral:rRNA from 1 species